GUAUAACUUUGUUAUACAUAUACUAAAAUUGGAACGAUACAGAGAAGAUUAGCAUGGCCCCUGCGCAAGGAUGACACGCAAAAUCGUGAAGCGUUCCACAUUUUU
rnacentral:snRNA from 1 species